rnacentral:misc_RNA from 1 species
AAAGAAUUACAUUUUGAAACAGCGAAAGCAUGGCUUCUUACUGUGUCACCGAUAGUCCCGAAACUGUGGACUACAAAACGAAGUGCUGCUGCCGAACGACGGACAAUGUCUACUAUGCCGUUCCAAAAGAGUACUUUCGCCUCAAUCAGAGCCUGGCGCGGCGAAAGCUUCUAUUAGCGGAGCCGUUCCCUGUUCCAGUGGACUGCAAAACUCUGGACCACUUGCUGGUGCUCCUUGAGAAGGCCACAAUUCUCUCCGCUCAGGUUGUGGAGGGUGAGACGAAGGGUAGCAAUAACGAGCGUCCGGAGUGGAUGCGUGACUUGAACAAGCGUCAGCAGAAGUUUGUUUGCGGGUGCCUGGGCAUCACCUCAUGGGAUGGCAAGGACAUUCCGUUCUACGUGGAAACGAUGCCCAAGAUCAACGACGUCGUUUGGGUGAAAAUCACCCAGGUGAAUGACACCUCGGCGGUAGUGCAGCUGCUCGAGUACGGCAAGCGCGAAGGCAUUAUUCCGUACACGGAGGUGACUAGGCGCCGUGUGCGCUCGAUGGGAAAGCUGAUCAAGGUAGGCCGUACCGAGCCGGCGCAGGUGAUUCGUAUCGACAAGGACAAGGGUUAUAUUGACUUGUCAAAGAAGCUGGUAACGCCCAACGAAGCAAAGGCGUGCGAAGCGCACUUCCGCCAGGGGAACGAAGUUCGCUCUAUUGUUUGCCAUGUCGCUGAGCUGUGCGAUAUCCCCGCUAUGGAUGCAAUGGAAAUGAUCGCCUAUCCGCUUUACCAGCGGGAACCGGGCAAGCACGCGUGGACGUGGCUUUACGAACUGAACCAGACGGAAGACGUGGAGCGCAUUCUGGGUCCGCUGAAGCUUGACAAAGCCAUAUCGGACUGCCUGAUGUCGACGCUGAAAAACGCGAUGCGGCUGAAGGUGUUGACGCUGUUUGCGGAAGUCGAGAUCACGUGCUUUGCGUGUGAUGGUGUGGAGGCGAUCCGCGACGUCCUCAUUCUUGGCCGCAGCUACGGAGAAGGCAGCGAUCCCCAGAUCCACCUGUCCGUCAAUAUCAUCGGACCCCCCAAGUAUGGCAUCCGAGCGCGCACGGAUAUGAAGGAAGAGGGUAUUCAGCGAAUGAAAGAGGCAAUAGAGGCGAUGACGGCGGAAAUCAAGAAGCGCGGUGGCCAGCUGAAGGUGGUGACGCCUCCGCAGCCUCACGGCGACGCAGACGAAGGCAAGAAGGGUUUGGAUGGAGAGGACGAUGAUGAUGAGGAUGCUGACUAAUGCAGAGAUGAAGGAAAACAGGUAAAAAAAUGGAUGACAAAGAGAAACUCUUCUAAAAAUAAGUAAGAUCUAAUAAGGAAAUGCGAAAAGCAACAAAUGUAGAGGGAAGGUUGUUGUUUUUUUUUUGUUGUUUCCUUUUUUGUGCUUUCGUCGGCGGUAACAGGUUCUUUAUUUUUUUCUUUCUUUAUGCAAGGAUCCUGAGCCCGAUGCAUGACUUGUUUUAUUUGUGUGUGUAUGUCGUGAACUGUGGUGAAGUCAAAUGCCGGUAAAGCUAUGAAAUCAUCG